rnacentral:rRNA from 1 species
UACGAAGGGGGCUAGCGUUGCUCGGAAUCACUGGGCGUAAAGCGCACGUAGGCGGAUCUUUAAGUCAGGGGUGAAAUCCUGGAGCUCAACUCCAGAACUGCCUUUGAUACUGGGGAUCUCGAGUCCGGGAGAGGUGAGUGGAACUGCGAGUGUAGAGGUGAAAUUCGUAGAUAUUCGCAAGAACACCGGUGGCGAAGGCGGCAUCCUGGACCGGCAUUGACGCUGAUGAGCGAAAGCCAGGGGAGCAAAGCGGG